GACAGAGGGUGCAAACGUUGUUCGGAAUUACUGGGCGUAAAGCGCGCGUAGGCGGCUUUGCAAGUCGAGUGUGAAAUCCCCCAGGCUUAACCUGGGAACUGCAUUCGAGACUGCAUAGCUAGAGUAUGGGAGAGGGAAGUGGAAUUUCAGGUGUAGCGGUGAAAUGCGUAGAUAUCUGAAGGAACAUCAGUGGCGAAAGCGACUUCCUGGACCAAUACUGACGCUCAUGUGCGAAAGCGUGGGGAGCAAACAGG
rnacentral:rRNA from 1 species